rnacentral:rRNA from 1 species
CCGCGGUAAUUCCAGCUCCAAUAGCGUAUAUUAAAGUUGUUGUGGUUAAAAAGCUCGUAGUUGGAUCUCAACAGCCUUGAAGCGGUUAACUUUGUAGUUUUACUGCUUUAUAGGCUGUGCUUUUGCUGGAGGUUUAGGGGUGCUCUUGAUCGAGUGUCUCUGGAUGCCAGCAGGUUUACUUUGAAAAAAUUAGAGUGCUCAAAGCAGGCUAAAAUGCCUGAAUAUUCGUGCAUGGAAUAAUAGAAUAGGAUGUCGAUCCUAUUUUGUUGGUUUUCGGGACUCGACAUAAUGAUAAAUAGGGACAGUCGGGGGCAUUUGUAUUCAAACGACAGAGGUGAAAUUCUUGGACCGUUUGAAGACAAACUACUGCGAAAGCAUUUGCCAAGAAUGUUUUCAUUAAUCAAGAACGAAAGUUAGAGGUUCGAAGGCGAUUAGAUACCGCCCUAGUUCUAACCAUAAACGAUGCCAGCUAGCGAUCUGCCUGCGUUUUUACUGUAGACUGGGCAGGAAGCUUCCGGGAAACCAAAGCAUUUGGGUUCCAGGGGAAGUAUGGUUGCAAAGCUGAAACUUAAAGGAAUUGACGGAAGGGCACCACCAGGAGUGGAGCCUGUGGCUUAAUUUGACUCAACACGGGAAAUCUCACCAGGCCCGGACACUGGAAGGAUUGACAGAUUGAUAGCUCUUUCUUGAUUCGGUGGGUGGUGGUGCAUGGCCGUUCUUAGUUGGUGGAGUGAUUUGUCUGGUUAAUUCCGAUAACGAACGAGACUCUGUCCUGCUAAAUAGUUUCUACUUCUCUUUUGAGUAGAAAUUUCUUCUUAGAGGGACUGGUGACUCUUAGUCACACGAGAUUGAGCAAUAACAGGUCUGUGAUGCCCAAGG